GACGAACGCUGGCGGCAGGCCUAACACAUGCAAGUCGAGCGGAGCGGCGGACGGGUGAGUAAUGCCUAGGAAUCUGCCUGGUAGUGGGGGAUAACGUCCGGAAACGGGCGCUAAUACCGCAUACUAUCAGAUGAGCCUAGGUCGGAUUUGCUAGUUGGUGGGGUAAAGGCCUAACAAGGCGACGAUCCGUAACUGGUCUGAGUGGAUGAUCAGUGAACAGUGAACGGAGACACGGUCCAGACGCAUACGGGAGGCAGAAGUGGGGAAUAUUUGACAAUGGGCGAAAGCCUGGUCAAGCCAUGCCGCGUGUGUGAAGAAGGUCUUCGGAUUGUAAAGCACGUUAAGUUGGGAGGCGUUACCAACAGAAUAAGCACCGGCUAACUGCGUGCCAGAAGCCGCGGUAAUUC
rnacentral:rRNA from 1 species